CCCAGGCAGGCAACUGGUUCAGUCCCUCAGCCCUGCCAGGCCAUUGAAUAAUUAAGCUGGCUGAGGGGUGACAGGGCUGGAAAGCCAAAAGUGACCAGGGUCUGGCCUUGCUUGGCUUUGGUGACGCGAUGGCCCUGGGAUCAUGGCCUUCUUGAACCUAUAAACAGGGGGUUGGGCCCCAAGACAGGCAAGGCCAGGCCAAGGUCUGUGCUGGUGGCCUCAAGCUAAAGUCGAGCAGGGACAGGAAGGGGGGUGCUCCAAGGCUACAGGAAAGGGAGUGCUAUGGAGCGAGAGUUUCUGUCCAUUGGCGCAACCCCCAUCCACUCAACCCCCAUCCACCCCCACUCUGGGAUUCCAUUUCUUUCUUCCCAGUCCUUUCUCAAUUUUCACCUUCAAUUUAUUGAGCACUUAUUACAUGCAGGGCUCUUCCAAAGUACUUUCCACAGAUCUGGUUCCUGCCCGCCCCCGCAUGAUGGGAAGGAGUUCUGUCCCCUCCCCAAAUGAGCAAAGCCCUGCUACUUGGACUCCCAUCACACCAGGGGACACAGAAAAGUACAAAGAAGAAAACAAAAAGGUGACCCAGAGGGAACCACCUACGGUGUUCACGGGAAUUCAGCUCGGCUCACGCACUUAUAUUGAGCUCCUACUGUUGUCUGCUUUUUCAUUUUUCAUGAAAAUAAAACUCGACUCGAAGUCUCAUUUUAAAAUA